UACCACCUUCCCCCUCCUCUCCCACCACAGGGGAGGAAAGAGUCCUGGCUCCUCUCCACACCCCUGCUUGUUAGCCUGCUAGUGGCAAGUCACAGCCAUGCAGGUCUGAAAAGGCAUGAAGCUUUCACUGGAGACUGCUCUAAAACCACCAUAAUUUUAUGAAAUCACAACAUUUCACAGAUUCUGACCUUAUACAGCCAGAGUCUCUGAGUGUCUUGCUGCCUCUUAGAUACAACCUGCUCUAAAUAAUUGCAGGCCAGUGCAAAAGACAUGAUUGCAUGCUGCUAACAUAGAAGAAAAACUGACAGAGUAACAGCAUCUAGACUGGAAAGGACCCACAAUCAUCAGAAUUUAUAAGGCACAGAGGGGCAAAA